CCCUACUACAUGGAUACCCGUAGUAAUUCUAGAGCUAAUACGUGCAACAAACCCCGACUUCUGGAAGGGAUGCAUUUAUUAGAUAAAAGGUCGACGCGGGCUCUGCCCGUUGCUGCGAUGAUUCAUGAUAACUCGACGGAUCGCACGGCCCUCGUGCCGGCGACGCAUCAUUCAAAUUUCUGCCCUAUC
rnacentral:rRNA from 14 species